UUGCACACUGAACAUUCUAGCGGCGGACGGGUGAGUAACGCGUGAACAAUCUGUCCCAUACAGGGGGAUAACAGAUGGAAACAUCUGCUAAUACCGCAUAAGACCACGAUGCCACAUGGCGAUGAGGUAAAAGGAGCAAUCCGGUAUGGGGUGAGUUCGCGUCCGAUUAGCUAGUUGGCGAGGUAACGGCCCACCAAGGCGACGAUCGGUAGCCGACCUGAGAGGGUGAUCGGCCACACUGGAACUGAGAGACGGUCCAGACUCC
rnacentral:rRNA from 1 species